AGAGUUUGAUCAUGGCUCAGAUUGAACGCUGGCGGCAGGCCUAACACAUGCAAGUCGAACGGUAACAGGAAGCAGCUUGCUGCUUUGCUGACGAGUGGCGGACGGGUGAGUAAUGUCUGGGAAACUGCCUGAUGGAGGGGGAUAACUACUGGAAACGGUGGCUAAUACCGCAUAACGUCGCAAGACCAAAGAGGGGGACCUUCGGGCCUCUUGCCAUCAGAUGUGCCCAGAUGGGAUUAGCUAGUUGGUGAGGUAACGGCUCACCAAGGCGACGAUCCCUAGCUGGUCUGAGAGGAUGACCAGCCACACUGGAACUGAGACACGGUCCAGACUCCUACGGGAGGCAGCAGUGGGGAAUAUUGCACAAUGGGCGCAAGCCUGAUGCAGCCAUGCCGCGUGUAUGAAGAAGGCCUUCGGGUUGUAAAGUACUUUCAGCGGGGAGGAAGGUGUUGUGGUUAAUAACCGCAGCAAUUGACGUUACCCGCAGAAGAAGCACCGGCUAACUCCGUGCCAGCAGCCGCGGUAAUACGGAGGGUGCAAGCGUUAAUCGGAAUUACUGGGCGUAAAGCGCACGCAGGCGGUCUGUCAAGUCGGAUGUGAAAUCCCCGGGCUCAACCUGGGAACUGCAUUCGAAACUGGCAGGCUUGAGUCUUGUAGAGGGGGGUGGAAUUCCAGGUGUAGCGGUGAAAUGCGUAGAGAUCUGGAGGAAUACCGGUGGCGAAGGCGGCCCCCUGGACAAAGACUGACGCUCAGGUGCGAAAGCGUGGGGAGCAAACAGGAUUAGAUACCCUGGUAGUCCACGCCGUAAACGAUGUCUACUUGGAGGUUGUGCCCUUGAGGCGUGGCUUCCGGAGCUAACGCGUUAAGUAGACCGCCUGGGGAGUACGGCCGCAAGGUUAAAACUCAAAUGAAUUGACGGGGGCCCGCACAAGCGGUGGAGCAUGUGGUUUAAUUCGAUGCAACGCGAAGAACCUUACCUGGUCUUGACAUCCACGGAAGUUUUCAGAGAUGAGAAUGUGCCUUCGGGAACCGUGAGACAGGUGCUGCAUGGCUGUCGUCAGCUCGUGUUGUGAAAUGUUGGGUUAAGUCCCGCAACGAGCGCAACCCUUAUCCUUUGUUGCCAGCGAUUAGGUCGGGAACUCAAAGGAGACUGCCAGUGAUAAACUGGAGGAAGGUGGGGAUGACGUCAAGUCAUCAUGGCCCUUACGACCAGGGCUACACACGUGCUACAAUGGCGCAUACAAAGAGAAGCGACCUCGCGAGAGCAAGCGGACCUCAUAAAGUGCGUCGUAGUCCGGAUUGGAGUCUGCAACUCGACUCCAUGAAGUCGGAAUCGCUAGUAAUCGUGGAUCAGAAUGCCACGGUGAAUACGUUCCCGGGCCUUGUACACACCGCCCGUCACACCAUGGGAGUGGGUUGCAAAAGAAGUAGGUAGCUUAACCUUCGGGAGGGCGCUUACCACUUUGUGAUUCAUGACUGGGGUGAAGUCGUAACAAGGUAACCGUAGGGGAACCUGCGGUUG
rnacentral:rRNA from 1 species